CUCCUUUUUAUUUCAGUGGUCACGGCCCGUUGCCAGGACGACGGCCUCGCUGCCGGGAGGAGGGCUGCGAAGGGAUGGGAGGCGGCUGCGUCUCGGCUCUCGGGGGGGGGAAUGUGCUCGUGUUUACCUGGAAUUUCCUCUGGCGGCGCGUCCGCGGUCGCCCGAAGAUCUCCGGUUUGUAUUCGGAGAGGCGGAGGAGGGUCUGGAAAAAACGAGCCCUGCUCUCGCGAAGCAAAACAAAACGCUCGCCGUCUUAUUUUCUUAAAACGUCACCGGCAAUCCCCUAAUUGAGGGCACUGACUCAUGGUUUCUAAGCCCGGACCUGCCGGUGCGGUUGUGCGUUGGGCGCUGCCGUUCUGCUGACUGCCGUAUGGGGCACGGGAAGGGCCUCCCUGCCGGCCCGGCAGUUCCGCGGCUGCCGUCGGCGUGGUGCCCAAGGAUUGUGUUUCUGGGGUGGCUGUGAGGAGCGCGGCCCGCGCCCCCCUUCCUGGUGGCAGCCCUGCCCCGGCAGAGGUUGGGGCUGGAUGGCCUUAAGGUCCCUCCCAACCCAAGAGCGCUAUGAUUCUAUUAUUUCACGGGGCGGCUUCUCGCUUCCUGAAGAUACGUUUAAGUUCUCUGUCCUUCCCCUGGUUUUGUGUUUCUGUGAAUUGCUGUGCUUGCUGAAGCAGACGUUGCUCACCGAGCUCUUACGUAAGUUACUAUGAGUACUACAGCAUCCAGGCAGCGCUCCAAGCCGGCGUUCCAGGACCCGCGCGUUCUGAGUUACAGCGGCACUGAGUUGUGCAGUGGUGGCAGCAGCCUGCAGACACCACAGCUGAAUCGCUGGCUCCACCUGGGCAGUCGCAGCCUCCUUCGCUCUUGCCUUGAAGAAGCUGAGCUGCUGUCGGCGAUUAAAGGUGGUUAACAGACCCCUGGUAGCGUAAGAACCGAAGCCAAUAGUCGUAACGUGGUAGGAACCAAGGAGGGCCAUUCUUAAAAGAAAGGCCACAGCCAUCCUAGACACACAGGAGUAUACAGAGGUAGCUCUGAAAAUAAUGUCUCUUACUUAUUUCCACAGAAACUACAACAGGUGCAAAGAGCAUAAUAACACUACUUGAUAGAGCAAAUACUCAGCUACAAAUCGCUGUUUUUCGAUACAGUCACCACCAUUAGCUAUGCACUUUUGCCAUGCAAAUAAGAAAUCGGCUCAAAAAUGUACCCGUUCAUUUGCUAAACAAGAAAUUCUAUCCCUUGUUAUAGGGAGGUAUAACUUCAAGUGUAGCUGUGGUCUGCCAGGCUUCAGCGAUGUGCUCAAAGGCAGAUGGGUGUGGAUGCACAGAGGAUGGAGAACUGUCACCUGCUGUAGGGGUGCUCUUUGCUCAGUCUUCCUCCAUUUGCUCUUUGGUGUGGGCCAGAAGAGUGACAGUAAAAGCACUGCUGGGCUUUGCACCACUCUUACAGCAAGGGUAGGGCUGAGUUCAUCUGAGAGCGUUUAGCAUCUCCUUUCACAGUUCCUGCUCUAAGUUUUAUGUUGGCCUUUUUUCCUCUGAACUGCAGUAGGAAAAUGAGAUGGGAGACUUUGAGUGGAGUUUCAGUUCUUCUUUAUUAGAGGCACACUCCUUACAGUGGCAGAGCAAGCACAAGCGUGGGGAAUGACUGCCAUGUGUCAGAGAAGGAAGAGAGUUGUGGGCUUUUUGCGUUCUUCCUAUUUUCUGUGCUUUGUGGGAGGAUGGCACAUGUAGUGCUCCUCCUCCUGCUCCCAAGCUCCUCUGCUCUGAUCGUACAAAGGCUUUUCCUACUUAGAAACCCAAUUUUUAAGUCUUUCAAAAGUUUAUUGGAGCCGUGACCUUGCUAAAUAUCUGAACUCUUUGCAAUGAGAAUCAAAGGAACCCGUAACUACAUCAACAGCUCAUACAGCUACCAUGUAACAUAUGUUGUGUAUAUAACAUAUGAUUCAUGUAACAUGAAUAUUCCAGUAAUUAUGUCUCCAGAUCAGAAGCAUGACAUUCUGAAUUCUUAAUAUAAGCAGCAUAAAAUCCCAAACCUUCAAACAUGUUCCAUAAAUGCAGAUAUUGUAUAUUGUAUAAAGACUUCUGCGUCUUUUCUCUGCCUCAGUUGAGUGUUAUUGUAUGAAAUACUGUGCAAUUGCUACAGCUGUGCCCCUAUUUGUAGAAAACAGUGUCUUCUGAUCACUGGUCAUCAUACUUCAUAGGUACAGACAACUCAGAUGAAGUAUUCCUUCUGAUGAACUGCUGUUUCUUCUCCAUUUAAAAGCUUAAUCUCUCUUUUCUACAGUUAAAUAUGGGUGGUUUCUGUUGUUUCCUUUUUCUUUGCUUGUACGUUCUUUUAGGAGAAUGAAUUCAUACAUCGGAGAUUAUAAUGGAGUGUUACAGCUCUAUUAUUUUUGCUUACAGCUGAAGGUUUGGAAACAAAACCACAGAAGUUUAACACACAAGAUGAGCAGGGUUGAGUUUUUAUUGUAAUAGAAGAACGAGGAUUAAGCCCUGCUUAAGAAGACGGGUAUUUCACUGGAUACAGCUGCUCAUCUCUUUGCUUGCCCUGGGACUGUUAGUCUCCCUGCCUCACGCGUGUUUUCCGGCUGCUGCCAUUCACAUUUGCUGCACUUUGUCAGCUUAAACAGCACUGCACGAAGGGUGCCCUACAAACUCUGACUACAACCAGUGAUAGCGCAGUGCAAGGCCUGGCCAGAAGAAAACAUUCACAUACAUUCACAUACAUACGUGGAGCUUCUUCCAUGGGCUCCAGAAUCCCACCAUGACUUCCAGAGAUGUACCUCAGCAGCUGGGAACAUCUGACAGACACCAAUGUGGCCUCUGGCUGAGCUCAUACGUGCUCUCAGGACAUGGUGACCGCAGUUUACUACAGAGCUCUAAGAACAAGCUCAGCCCACUGCAGUGGAUUUAGCUCAUCUUCCCCUAUGGUUUGUAGUUUGUCUUCACAGCCUUUUUCCUCUCCGUACCUUCUCAGGAUCAGUUUCCUCACCGGGUUUCUAGAAGGGCCACAGAUACCAGCAAAGUGCUCCUGUGAACACACAAACAUGCUGCCUUUCUCCUUGGUCACUAAUUCUAAAGCAGUGUGGUUUAAUUCUUCAGAUAAACGCAGCACUCUGAGCAGUAUGGUGGGAGACUGCAUCUCGUACCGUUCGGCAUACGGAAGUAACAGGUAUUGGGCAGCUGUGCCCUGCCUUUAAGCUGGUCAGGACAGGAGAAGCACGGGGCCUCCUGAAACCAUUGGAGACAGGAAAAUCUCCUGUUCAGUGAGAAGUAUUACGGAAAGCAACUGCAUGUUAAGAAGAGAAACCAUGUGUCAGUGGUAGGGUUCUGUAUCUGAUACUGUCUGUAACUAAGUGAGGCACAGGCAGACUGUAUGAAGAGAGAAAUUAAUAUAAUAGUAAUAAAAAAAAUCAUGGAAUACUCUGAGUUGUAAGGAAUGUACAAGGAUCACCGACUCCAACCCCUGUGGCUCCACACAGGGCCACCCAGCAAUCAGACCACACGUGUGAGAGGGG
ensembl:lncRNA